UACGAAGGGGGCGAGCGUUGUUCGGAUUUACUGGGCGUAAAGGGCGCGUAGGCGGCGCCGCAAGUCGAGUGUGAAAGCCCCGGGCUCAACCUGGGAGGUGCGCUCGCGACUGCGGUGCUGGAGUUCGGGAGAGGAGCGUGGAAUUCCCAGUGUAGAGGUGAAAUUCGUAGAUAGUUGGGAAGAACACCGGUGGCGAAGGCGGUUCUCUGGGCCUGUACUGACGCUGAGGAACGAAAGCGUGGGGAGCGAACAGG
rnacentral:rRNA from 1 species